GCGGAAGUAGUUCAGUGGUAGAACAUCACCUUGCCAAGGUGGGGGUCGCGGGUUCGAACCACGUCUUACGCU
rnacentral:tRNA from 1 species